rnacentral:rRNA from 1 species
GACCCUUAACCGGCGAAGGGGGGGCGGUUGCCACGGUGGCGUUUCGUGACUGGGGUG